UUAAGUUAUUAAGGGCGCACGGUGGAUGCCUUGGCACUAGAAGCCGAUGAAGGACGUUACUAACGACGAUAUGCUUUGGGGAGCUGUAAGUAAGCUUUGAUCCAGAGAUUUCCGAAUGGGGAAACCCAGCAUGAGUUAUGUCAUGUUAUCGAUAUGUGAAUACAUAGCAUAUCAGAAGGCACACCCGGAGAACUGAAACAUCUUAGUACCCGGAGGAAGAGAAAGAAAAUUCGAUUCCCUUAGUAGCGGCGAGCGAAACGGGAAGAGCCCAAACCAAAAAGCUUGCUUGUUGGGGUUGUAGGACACUCUAUACGGAGUUACAAAGGACGACAUUAGACGAAUCAUCUGGAAAGAUGAAUCAAAGAAGGUAAUAAUCCUGUAGUCGAAAAUGUUGUCUCUCUUGAGUGGAUCCUGAGUACGACGGAGCACGUGAAAUUCCGUCGGAAUCUGGGAGGACCAUCUCCCAAGGCUAAAUACUCUCUAGUGACCGAUAGUGAACCAGUACCGUGAGGGAAAGGUGAAAAGCACCCCGGAAGGGGAGUGAAAUAGAACCUGAAACCGUGUGCUUACAAGUAGUCAGAGCCCGUUAAUGGGUGAUGGCGUGCCUUUUGUAGAAUGAACCGGCGAGUUACGAUUUGAUGCAAGGUUAAGCAGUAAAUGUGGAGCCGUAGCGAAAGCGAGUCUGAAUAGGGCGUUUAGUAUUUGGUCGUAGACCCGAAACCAGGUGAUCUACCCUUGGUCAGGUUGAAGUUCAGGUAACACUGAAUGGAGGACCGAACCGACUUACGUUGAAAAGUGAGCGGAUGAACUGAGGGUAGCGGAGAAAUUCCAAUCGAACCUGGAGAUAGCUGGUUCUCUCCGAAAUAGCUUUAGGGCUAGCCUCAAGUGAUGAUUAUUGGAGGUAGAGCACUGUUUGGACGAGGGGCCCCUCUCGGGUUACCGAAUUCAGACAAACUCCGAAUGCCAAUUAAUUUAACUUGGGAGUCAGAACAUGGGUGAUAAGGUCCGUGUUCGAAAGGGAAACAGCCCAGACCACCAGCUAAGGUCCCAAAAUAUAUGUUAAGUGGAAAAGGAUGUGGCGUUGCCCAGACAACUAGGAUGUUGGCUUAGAAGCAGCCAUCAUUUAAAGAGUGCGUAAUAGCUCACUAGUCGAGUGACACUGCGCCGAAAAUGUACCGGGGCUAAACAUAUUACCGAAGCUGUGGAUUGUCCUUUGGACAAUGGUAGGAGAGCGUUCUAAGGGCGUUGAAGCAUGAUCGUAAGGACAUGUGGAGCGCUUAGAAGUGAGAAUGCCGGUGUGAGUAGCGAAAGACGGGUGAGAAUCCCGUCCACCGAUUGACUAAGGUUUCCAGAGGAAGGCUCGUCCGCUCUGGGUUAGUCGGGUCCUAAGCUGAGGCCGACAGGCGUAGGCGAUGGAUAACAGGUUGAUAUUCCUGUACCACCUAUAAUCGUUUUAAUCGAUGGGGGGACGCAGUAGGAUAGGCGAAGCGUGCGAUUGGAUUGCACGUCUAAGCAGUAAGGCUGAGUAUUAGGCAAAUCCGGUACUCGUUAAGGCUGAGCUGUGAUGGGGAGAAGACAUUGAGUCUUCGAGUCGUUGAUUUCACACUGCCGAGAAAAGCCUCUAGAUAGAAAAUAGGUGCCCGUACCGCAAACCGACACAGGUAGUCAAGAUGAGAAUUCUAAGGUGAGCGAGCGAACUCUCGUUAAGGAACUCGGCAAAAUGACCCCGUAACUUCGGGAGAAGGGGUGCUCUUUAGGGUUAACGCCCAGAAGAGCCGCAGUGAAUAGGCCCAAGCGACUGUUUAUCAAAAACACAGGUCUCUGCUAAACCGUAAGGUGAUGUAUAGGGGCUGACGCCUGCCCGGUGCUGGAAGGUUAAGAGGAGUGGUUAGCUUCUGCGAAGCUACGAAUCGAAGCCCCAGUAAACGGCGGCCGUAACUAUAACGGUCCUAAGGUAGCGAAAUUCCUUGUCGGGUAAGUUCCGACCCGCACGAAAGGCGUAACGAUUUGGGCACUGUCUCAACGAGAGACUCGGUGAAAUCAUAGUACCUGUGAAGAUGCAGGUUACCCGCGACAGGACGGAAAGACCCCGUGGAGCUUUACUGUAGCCUGAUAUUGAAAUUCGGCACAGCUUGUACAGGAUAGGUAGGAGCCUUUGAAACGUGAGCGCUAGCUUACGUGGAGGCGCUGGUGGGAUACUACCCUAGCUGUGUUGGCUUUCUAACCCGCACCACUUAUCGUGGUGGGAGACAGUGUCAGGCGGGCAGUUUGACUGGGGCGGUCGCCUCCUAAAAGGUAACGGAGGCGCUCAAAGGUUCCCUCAGAAUGGUUGGAAAUCAUUCAUAGAGUGUAAAGGCAUAAGGGAGCUUGACUGCGAGACCUACAAGUCGAGCAGGGUCGAAAGACGGACUUAGUGAUCCGGUGGUUCCGCAUGGAAGGGCCAUCGCUCAACGGAUAAAAGCUACCCCGGGGAUAACAGGCUUAUCUCCCCCAAGAGUUCACAUCGACGGGGAGGUUUGGCACCUCGAUGUCGGCUCAUCGCAUCCUGGGGCUGUAGUCGGUCCCAAGGGUUGGGCUGUUCGCCCAUUAAAGCGGUACGCGAGCUGGGUUCAGAACGUCGUGAGACAGUUCGGUCCCUAUCCGUCGUGGGCGUAGGAAAUUUGAGAGGAGCUGUCCUUAGUACGAGAGGACCGGGAUGGACAUACCUCUGGUGUACCAGUUGUCGUGCCAACGGCAUAGCUGGGUAGCUAUGUGUGGACGGGAUAAGUGCUGAAAGCAUCUAAGCAUGAAGCCCCCCUCAAGAUGAGAUUUCCCAACUUCGGUUAUAAGAUCCCUCAAAGAUGAUGAGGUUAAUAGGUUCGAGGUGGAAGCAUGGUGACAUGUGGAGCUGACGAAUACUAAUCGAUCGAAGACUUAAUCAA
rnacentral:rRNA from 1 species